rnacentral:rRNA from 1 species
UUGGCUAAUACCGCAUACGCCCUGAGGGGGAAAGCUAGGGAUCUUCGGACCUGGCGUUAAUGGAGCGGCCGAUAUCUGAUUAGCUAGUUGGUGGGGUAAAGGCCCACCAAGGCGACGAUCAGUAGCUGGUCUGAGAGGACGACCAGCCACACUGGAACUGAGACACGGUCCAGACUCCUACGGGAGGCAGCAGUGGGGAAUUUUGGACAAUGGGCGCAAGCCUGAUCCAGCCAUUCCGCGUGAGUGAAGAAGGCCUUCGGGUUGUAAAGCUCUUUCGCAAGGGAAGAAAACUUAUCCUCUAACAUAGGAUGAGGUUGACGGUACCUUGAUAAGAAGCACCGGCUAACUACGUGCCAGCAGCCGCGGUAAUACGUAGGGUGCGAGCGUUAAUCGGAAUUACUGGGCGUAAAGCGUGCGCAGGCUGUUUUGUAAGUCAGAUGUGAAAUCCCCGAGCUCAACUUGGGAACUGCGUUUGAAACUACAAGACUAGAAUAGGUCAG